GCCUGGGUGGCUUAGUUGGUUAAGCACCUGAUUUCGGCUCAGGUUAUGAUCUCACUGUUUGUGGGUUUGAGCCCUGCAUCGGGUU
rfam:Felis catus isolate Cinnamon breed Abyssinian chromosome A3, whole genome shotgun sequence.